AGUGAACGCUGGCGGUGGGCCUAACACAUGCAAGUCGAACGGCAGCACAGUAAGAGCUUGCUCUUACGGGUGGCGAGUGGCGGACGGGUGAGGAAUACAUCGGAAUCUACUUUUUCGUGGGGGAUAACGUAGGGAAACUUACGCUAAUACCGCAUACGACCUACGGGUGAAAGCAGGGGAUCUUCGGACCUUGCGCGAUUGAAUGAGCCGAUGUCGGAUUAGCUAGUUGGCGGGGUAAAGGCCCACCAAGGCGACGAUCCGUAGCUGGUCUGAGAGGAUGAGCAGCCACACUGGAACUGAGCCACGGUCCAGACUCCUACGGGAGGCAGCAGUGGGGAAUAUUGGACAAUGGGCGCAAGCCUGAUCCAGCCAUACCGCGUGGGUGAAGAAGGCCUUCGGGUUGUAAAGCCCUUUUGUUGGGAAAGAAAAGCAGCAGGUUAAUACCCCGCUGUUCUGACGGUACCCAAAGAAUAAGCACCGGCUAACUUCGUG
rnacentral:rRNA from 1 species